rnacentral:rRNA from 1 species
GACGAACGCUGGCGGCGUGCCUAACACAUGCAAGUCGAGCGAGUGAAUCUCCUUCGGGAGUGAAGCUAGCGGCGGACGGGUGAGUAACACGUGGGCAACCUGCCUCAUAGAGGGGAAUAGCCUUCCGAAAGGAAGAUUAAUACCGCAUAAGAUUGUAGCUUCGCAUGAAGUAGCAAUUAAAGGAGCAAUCCGCUAUGAGAUGGGCCCGCGGCGCAUUAGCUAGUUGGUGAGGUAACGGCUCACCAAGGCGACGAUGCGUAGCCGACCUGAGAGGGUGAUCGGCCACAUUGGGACUGAGACACGGCCCAGACUCCUACGGGAGGCAGCAGUGGGGAAUAUUGCGCAAUGGGGGAAACCCUGACGCAGCAACGCCGCGUGAAGGAUGAAGGUUUUCGGAUUGUAAACUUACUUUGUAUGAGGGACGGAUAAUGACGGUACCGUCAAAACAAAGACCACGGCUAACUACGUGCCACGCAGCCGCGGUAAACGUACGUACU